rnacentral:tRNA from 1 species
UCCCUGGUGGUUAAGUGGUUAGGACUCUGAGCUUCCACUACAGGGAGCACAGGUUCGACCCCUGCUUGGGGAA